rnacentral:rRNA from 1 species
UACGGGGGGGGCAAGCGUUGUUCGGAAUUACUGGGCGUAAAGGGCUCGUAGGUGGCCAACUAAGUCAGACGUGAAAUCCCCAGGCUUAACCUGGGAACUGCGUCUGAUACUGGAUGGCUUGAAUUCGGGAGAGGGAUGUGGAAUUCCAGGUGUAGCGGUGAAAUGCGUAGAUAUCUGGAGGAACACCGGUGGCGAAGGCGACAUCCUGGACCGGUAUUGACGCUGAGGCGCGAAAGCCAGGGGAGCAAACGGG